AACGCAUAUUGCACUCUUUGGUAUUCCGAAGAGUAUGCCUGUUUCAGUAUCAUAAAACUCUCAUAAAUUCAAAAGGCUUUUUUCGGCUUUUUUUUGAUUGUGGAUAUGGGCUUGCAAAUAUCAUGUACAUUUUUGCUCGUCUUAAAUGCAUUUCUUGAAUCAAAUUCAUUCGAUUUUGCUUAAUAGUUUUGGCCUCAGUGCUAAAUCUUUGGCUUUAUCAUUUGAAUAUUUUUGAUCAAGAUUUACGAUUACAUUGGCUUAAAAAAAGCCUCUCAAAAUUUGAUCUGAAAUCAGGUAGGACUACCCGCUGAACUUAA
rnacentral:misc_RNA from 1 species